ensembl:lncRNA
AAAAGGUUCUCUCUUUAGAAUAACCUCCUGACCCAUUUCUUUUGGCUACAGGAAGGUGCACUCUGACCUGGUGAAUGUAAGGUUAAAAAGUGAACCCUACCCAGGUCAAAUGUUGUGGAAUAGACACAAUUUUUUCAUACUGUGUUUUUUCAGCACUGUAUGGAUCAGGACUCUCAUACCAUAUUAGGGGAAUGCAGGCAAAUUAAUGUUAGACAUUUCUGUAAUUUCUACUGUUAUUUACUGUAUAUCACCCAGUAUAAUACUGUAAAUUCCCUUUACAGUAAGUAACUGUAAUACCCUUUGAAUCAUGGGAAUUUUCUCGGUCCUCAAACCCCACAUACAGAGACUUAUUAUUUUUUAUUUUUUUUUAAUUGCUGUAUACUACUGUAUUUGCCAUGUUUCAUCGCUUGUAAUGAUUGGCAAAUCCAUUUGACCUUCAUGUCAGAAACCGCGUGAGCACUUGGAUUACUGCUGUGUUUCAGAAAUACUGUAUACUGGUGUAUACUGGUGCAUCAUUGUCUAGUGGAGUUGCACCGCGCUGUUCACGUCCGAGGAAGACAUGGAACCAGCACUGGAGUGCCAUGGGUUUUGCCCGGGGAAGAACCGGCUAGAGUGCAAGAUUUCUGCGCUGUUUGUCGAUGCUCCUCACGAGAGACUAAGACCUGCAAGCAAGGCAACUGCAAUGAAGCAUCAAUAAAGACAUGAGCAUGCCAGCCACCCUAUGACUGAUAAUUCAUGGUAAGAGAACAGCUAUGGAUUUGAGAGAUUUGUGUAUUCUGUAUAGAGUUUGACUUUUAAAAGUGUGUCAUUUCUACUUAUUGUUUUUCAGGGAACACAUUCCUGUCACUAAGAUAGUGGAUGGUGAGCAAAGAUGGUGGCUACGUUUUGGAGCAGCACCUGGGUUUUGCAGAUGGCUAUAUAUUUAUUUUCCCAUUAUGUUUCUGUUGCUUAAAUAUUCUUUGUGAGGAUAAAUCCAGAUGAUACAACAUAAUGCACUGCAAAAGGUCCUAAGAUAGGAGAAAUGGUAAAGAUGCACUGUUCCAGUGUUGGAAGACUGUAUUUUUAAGUGUUAUACAUGCAAUGUUUUAAAUAAAGAAUUUGAUAUUUACA